AUUGAACGCUGGCGGCAUGCCUUACACAUGCAAGUCGAACGGUAACAGGUCUUCGGAUGCUGACGAGUGGCGAACGGGUGAGUAAUACAUCGGAACGUGCCUAGUAGUGGGGGAUAACUACUCGAAAGAGUGGCUAAUACCGCAUGAGAUCUACGGAUGAAAGCAGGGGAUCGCAAGACCUUGUGCUACUAGAGCGGCCGAUGGCAGAUUAGGUAGUUGGUGGGAUAAAAGCUUACCAAGCCGACGAUCUGUAGCUGGUCUGAGAGGACGAUCAGCCACACUGGGACUGAGAAACGGCCCAGACUCCUACGGGAGGCAGCAGUGGGGAAUUUUGGACAAUGGGCGCAAGCCUGAUCCAGCAAUGCCGCGUGCAGGAUGAAGGCCUUCGGGUUGUAAACUGCUUUUGUACGGAACGAAAAGCCCCAGGUUAAUACCCUGGGGUCAUGACGGUACCGUAAGAAUAAGCACCGGCUAACUACGUGCCAGCCGCCACCGUAA
rnacentral:rRNA from 1 species